UUCCAGACUCCUACGGGAGGCAGCAGUGAGGAAUAUUGGUCAAUGGGCGCGAGCCUGAACCAGCCAAGUCGCGUGAGGGAGGACGGCCCUACGGGUUGUAAACCUCUUUUGCCGGGGAGCAACGGGCGUCACGUGUGGCGCCACUGAGAGUACCCGGAGAAAAAGCAUCGGCUAACUCCGUGCCAGCAGCCGCGGUAAUACGGAGGAUCCAAGCGUUAUCCGGAUUUAUUGGGUUUAAAGGGUGCGUAGGCGGUUUUAUAAGUUAGAGGUGAAAUCUCGGGGCUCAACUCCGAAAUUGCCUCUAAUACUGUAGGACUAGAGAGUAGUUGCGGUAGGCGGAAUGUAUGGUGUAGCGGUGAAAUGCUUAGAGAUCAUACAGAACACCGAUUGCGAAGGCAGCUUACCAAACUAUAUCUGACGUUGAGGCACGAAAGCGUGGGGAGCAAACAGGAUUAGAUACCCUAGUACU
rnacentral:rRNA from 1 species